GUCGCCUGGUCACACAAAGCAUGUGCUCUACCAUUGAGCUAAAUUUAUUUCCCAAUGAUAAAUCCUACUAUAUCAUUGGGAAAUAAAUUUAGCUCAAUGGUAGAGCACAUGCUUUGUGUGACCAGGCGACAG